rnacentral:rRNA from 1 species
AGUGAACGCUGGCGGUAGGCCUAACACAUGCAAGUCGAACGGCAGCACAGUAAGAGCUUGCUCUUACGGGUGGCGAGUGGCGGACGGGUGAGGAAUACAUCGGAAUCUACUUUUUCGUGGGGGUUAACGUAGGGAAACUUACGCUAAUACCGCAUACGACCUACGGGUGAAAGCAGGGGAUCUUCGGACCUUGCGCGAUUGAAUGAGCCGAUGGCGGAUUAGCUAGUUGGCGGGGUAAAGGCCCACUAAGGCGACGAUCCGUAGCUGGUCUGAGAGGAUGAUACGCCACACUGGAACUGAGACACGGCCCAGACGACUACGGGAGGGAGCAGUAGUGGAUAUUGGACAAUGGGCGGAAACCUGAACCAGCCAUACCGCAGGGGUGAAGAAGGCCUUCGGGUUGUAAAGCCCUUUUGUUGGGAGAGAAAAGCAGCAGGUUAAUACCCCGCUGUUCUGACGGUACCCAAAGAAUAAACACCCGCUAACUUCGUGC